AUCGCUUCUUCUGCCUAUUGGCUAAGAUCAAGUGUAGUAACUUUACUAUUCAGAUUAUUACCUGAAUUGUGGGGUACUCCCCCACUCUUGUUUUAAUUUCAUUUUUGCGACGACAAGAGCGAGUGUUCGGCUUGCCAUUUGCUCUCACAGGUCGGCUUAGCGUUACACUACAGCCUUGACUGGCCAGUCACUU